GGGAGUUUGGCCGAGUGGUUUAAGGCGUCAGAUUUAGGCUCUGAUAUCUUCGGAUGCAAGGGUUCGAAUCCCUUAGCUCUCACCA
rnacentral:tRNA from 1 species